rnacentral:rRNA from 1 species
AUGCGGCCAGAGGAGGCAUUUGCCCGUGUUCGAGGUCACCUCAUGCCGUACAUGACCCUAGAGGACGCGGCGGCCAUCUACCGGGCCCUGCGGGAGGAGGAGGGGCCCGCGACCUCGCAUCACCGCGAGGUGGUCAUCACCAACCGCGAAGUCCUGCUGGCCAAGUACGACUCCUACCGCAGCAUCGUGGAGCAGGCUGACUUGCUGGACAGGGUGAGCGUUCAUGUGGAGGAGGCGUUGACGCUUCGUCUCCAGGCGCAGUUUCAGACUUCUGUUGCAGAUCUUGGGACGGCCCUGACAAGUCUUAGGGAGCACGCAUGGCGGAUGGUGUUCCUCUACCUGCGGGAAGGCAACAUUUUGGAGGCGAAGCAUUAUCUUGAUAUAUGCUUUCCAAGGGUAUCCCAGAUUAUUGACAACAACCCAUCUAUAGCCUUCCAAGCUUAUGAACAUCUGUUGACAACCCUCGAGGCCGAUUUUGAUGGCGAGGAACUGGAUCCGAUGUUUCACAUGCACAAUUUCUUGGCUUGCUUAGCAUGUUAUAGAUUGAUGUACAUCAAGGGAACAAACCUAGCAUUCAUCAUCUCUUUGGUUGAGUGCUUUGUGGCGGAUAUGGUAAAGAAGAGGGAUUAUCUGAUGGGUCGACUCACAGUACGGACAUUGAUCGGCGCUGCACCCACAAAUUAA